rnacentral:lncRNA from 1 species
UCCAGGUGUUAUGGUAAAGGGACAGCUUGGUGCUGUCAGCCUCACUGACCAUGCAUUUAUAAAGCACCAAAGUGCGUGUGAUGCUGCUGGGCACUGGAGAUGGGACCAGGUGCUGCUGCACACGUAUGCACACACCAUGCAUACAUGCACACACACCACACACGCAUGCACACAGUGCACACGUGCACACACCAUGCAUACACACCACACACCGUGCACACGUGCACACACCAUGCAUACACACCACACACAGUGCACACGUGCACAUUACCAUGCAUCCACACACAGUGCACACGUGCACACACUAUGCAUACACAGUGCACACGUGCACACACCAUGCAUACACACCACACACCGUGCACACGUGCACACACCAUGCAUACACACCACACACAGUGCACACGUGCACAUUACCAUGCAUCCACACACAGUGCACACGUGCACACACUAUGCAUACACAGUGCACACGUGCACACACCAUGCAUACACACCACACAGUGCACACGUGCACAUUACCAUGCAUACACAGUGCACACGUGCACACACCAUGCAUACACACCACACACAGUGCACACGUGCACAUUACCAUGCAUACACACAGUGCACGCGUGCACAUUACCAUGCAUACACAGUGCACAUGUGCACACACCAUGCAUACACACCACACAGUGCACACGUGCACACACCAUGCAUACACAGUGCACACGUGCACACACCAUGCAUACACAGUGCACAUGUGCACACACCAUGCAUACACACCACACACCGUGCACACGUGCACACACCAUGCAUACACACCACACACAGUGCACACGUGCACAUUACCAUGCAUCCACACACAGUGCACACGUGCACACACCAUGCAUACACACCAC